UCAUGCUGUAGCCUACCAUUCAGUACAGUAGCGAAACCCUAAUGGCUGACAAUCAGUUUUAAUUUACUUGGAAGAAUACAUUGUGUGAACAUAAGCUGGUGUUACCUUUCGUCGUCUGUGAAGUAUCUCAGCUUCUUCCUGCCUUUGAUCUACAACAAGACUUACCAAACAAGCACCUCUACAAGAAGAAUCGAGAGAGAUACAGUGCCUGCAUCCAGUGUAGACACCUGCCCAUUGUAGUCCAUAACAAUGGAAUAUGAGGAUGGAUGCAGUAUCACUCCGACUCCGACUAUACAGCUCACUGUGGGAGAGGCCUUAAGUACACUGGAAUUACGCAAGUGGUGAAGUCUACUUUUUUUUCUACACGUGAACAAGCUGGCAUGGGUAGUGGCAUGACGAGUUGACUGAACAACCUAUCAAAAUAAAAAAAAACGUGAACCCAACUUUAUUACCACAUCAUCACGAUGGACGGAUUCACAAAAACUUACACAACUUUUUUAUGCAAUGAAGAAUGACUUAAAUGACAAGUUCAAGGCAGUCUGGACCAAUAACUAAACGUUGAGUAGCCGGUUAUACACUGUUUCCCAAGGAUCUGUAUUCUAGAACUUUAUCCA